ensembl:misc_RNA Metazoa_SRP Metazoan signal recognition particle RNA
GCUGGGCGUGGUGGCGGGCGCCUGUAAUCCCAGCUACUCGGGAGGCUGAGGCAGGAGAAUCGUUUGAACCCGGGAAGUGGAGGUUGCAGUGAGCCAAGGCUGCACCAUUGCACUCCAGCCUGGGUGACAGAAUGAGACUCUGUCUCAA